AUUUUUAUUUUUAUGGUACGAGGCAAGUAAUCAGCUAUACUUUCAUAAAAAAUAGUAAACAUACUUUACAUACUUACUAUAAGUAUGUAAAAAAAAAAAUAUUUCAUAUAGGGGUUUUUUAAUUGAUGGUGACGAUAUUAGUAUUAGUAUGCUCUUAAAUACAAUAUACUUUUCCUUAGGAACAUAUGGCGCAGCACACUGGUGAAACCCUAUACAAGUGUCCGUUCUGUACUCGUACUUUUAAUUCAAAUGCGAAUAUGCACUCGCAUAAGAAGAAAAUGCAUCCCAUCGAAUGGAAUACGUCCCGUAAGGAGAAGCUAGAAGGCACACAAUCAAAAAGCAAGCCUCAAAGCGAUAUAUAAAUAACAGAAGGUACUUCAACAUUUGCGUUCAUGCCGUAAUUAGGUUCUGGAAUUAUGUACAUACAUUAUAUUAUAAAAAUAUGUUUAGGGGAUGCACAAGCUGUCGUAAUAGUCGUAUUGUCAUAAUCACUUUAUUUUAUAACGGUAACAAAUAAUUUGUGGUGUUUAUGAAUCAAUUAAAGAUGUAUCACAUUAUGACGAUACGACGUGUUAUGUCACCUGGCGAUUCCUUUAAUUACAUUGCAUAAAAAAAGUAUAAGAAAAAAUGACAUCGGUGGAAACAAGAACGGUUGGAGAGAAUUUUAUUACCGGUUUCAAAGUCGGAGUAUUUAAUAUGAUUUAUAAUUGUACGACAAACGAAUCGAAUCAGUUGCACAGAACUUGGAUGGAUGAGAGAAGCAAACAGCAAAUGGAAACUCAUACAGUGAAAACUUGAUGUAACGAACAUUUAAUGUGUCGAUUUGAUUACACUUUGGAUGUUGUAUGGUAUACCAAAACUCAGAUUUUCCAAUGGCAAUUGCAUGAACGUAAAGUUAAGUCUCAUAAAAAACUUUAAAACUUGA